UCCGUAGGUGAACCUGCGGAAGGAUCAUUAACGAGUUUGACAUGGGUUGAUGCUGGCCUUCCGAGGCAUGUGCUCACCCUGCUCAUCCACAUACCCCUGUGCACCUUUGUGGCGGGUUUAGGCCCGAAAGGGUCGAGCCAACUACGUUUUUUUACACACGCUCAGUUUAGAAUGUAACUUGCUAUAAACGCAUUAAAUAUAACUUUCAACAACGGAUCUCUUGGCUCUCGCAUCGAUGAAGAACGCAGCGAAAUGCGAUAAGUAAUGUGAAUUGCAGAAUUCAGUGAAUCAUCGAAUCUUUGAACGCACCUUGCGCUCCUUGGUAUUCCGAGGAGCAUGCCUGUUUGAGUGUCAUGAAUAUCUCAACCCAACAGUUUUGUAAUGAGAACUGAAGGGCUUGGACUUGGAGGCUUUGCCGGCGCUUGUCGGCUCCUCUCUAAAUUCAUUAGCUGAGUCUUUCGAGACGUAGCCUCGGUGUGAUAAUUGUCUACGCCGUGUGUUUGCGUUCUUGCUUGCGCCACCUGCUUUUGCAGUUGUUGGUGGGGGGAGACUUCUGGGGGCUUCUAAUCGGUCUUCGGGAC
rnacentral:rRNA from 1 species